UUUGCUUUGUUGACAUUGCUGCGUUGCUUUUGGCUAAUAAUGGAUAAAUUUAUUACACGGUAUUCAAAAAGAAGACGUGG